GGGGAUGUAGCUCAAUUUGGGAGAGCGCCGCCUUUGCACGGCGGAGGUUGUCGGUUCGAGCCCGAUCAUCUCCACCA
rnacentral:tRNA from 1 species